rnacentral:rRNA from 1 species
GUGGGGAAUUUUGGACAAUGGGCGCAAGCCUGAUCCAGCCAUGCCGCGUGAGUGAAGAAGGCCUUCGGGUUGUAAAGCUCUUUCAGACGGAAAGAAACGGUCACGGCUAAUAUCUGUGGCUAAUGACGGUACCGUCAGAAGAAGCACCGGCUAACUACGUGCCAGCAGCCGCGGUAAUACGUAGGGUGCGAGCGUUAAUCGGAAUUACUGGGCGUAAAGCGUGCGCAGGCGGUUUCGUAAGACAGAUGUGAAAUCCCCGGGCUUAACCUGGGAACUGCAUUUGUGACUGCGAGACUAGAGUGUAGCAGAGGGGGGUAGAAUUCCACGUGUAGCAGUGAAAUGCGUAGAGAUGUGGAGGAAUACCGAUGGCGAAGGCAGCCCCCUGGGCUAACACUGACGCUCAUGCACGAAAGCGUGGGGAGCAAACAGGAUUAGAUACCCCUGUAGUCC